CGAAGGGGGCUAGCGUUGUUCGGAAUUACUGGGCGUAAAGCGUGCGCAGGCGGCUUCUCAAGUCAGGGGUGAAAGCCCAGAGCUCAACUCUGGAAUUGCCUUUGAGACUGAGAGGCUUGAGUACGGGAGAGGUGAGUGGAAUUCCCAGUGUAGAGGUGAAAUUCGUAGAUAUUGGGAAGAACACCAGUGGCGAAGGCGGUUGCCUGGAGCUUUGCUGACGCUGAGGCGCGAAAGCGUGGGGAGCGAUCCGG
rnacentral:rRNA from 1 species